GCUGUCGUCAGCUCGUGUUGUGAAAUGUUGGGUUAAGUCCCGCAACGAGCGCAACCCUUAUCCUUUGUUGCCAGCGAUUAGGUCGGGAACUCAAAGGAGACUGCCAGUGAUAAACUGGAGGAAGGUGGGGAUGACGUCAAGUCAUCAUGGCCCUUACGACCAGGGCUACACACGUGCUACAAUGGCGCAUACAAAGAGAAGCGACCUCGCGAGAGCAAGCGGACCUCAUAAAGUGCGUCGUAGUCCGGAUUGGAGUCUGCAACUCGACUCCAUGAAGUCGGAAUCGCUAGUAAUCGUGGAUCAGAAUGCCACGGUGAAUACGUUCCCGGGCCUUGUACACA
rnacentral:rRNA from 1 species